rnacentral:tRNA from 1 species
UUUUAGCUCAGUAGGUAGAGCACUUGAUUUGUAAUCUCGUGGUCGUUGGUUCGAGUCCAACAA